GACGAACUUUGGCGGCGUGCUUAACACAUGCAAGUCGAACGGAAAGGCCCUGCUUUUGUGGGGUGCUCGAGUGGCGAACGGGUGAGUAACACGUGAGUAACCUGCCCUUGACUUUGGGAUAACUUCAGGAAACUGGGGCUAAUACCGGAUAGGAGCUCCUGCUGCAUGGUGGGGGUUGGAAAGUUUCGGCGGUUGGGGAUGGACUCGUGGCUUAUCAGCUUGUUGGUGGGGUAGUGGCUUACCAAGGCUUUGACGGGUAGCCGGCCUGAGAGGGUGACCGGCCACAUUGGGACUGAGAUACGGCCCAGACUCCUACGGGAGGCAGCAGUGGGGAAUAUUGCACAAUGGGCGGAAGCCUGAUGCAGCAACGCCGCGUGCGGGAUGACGGCCUUCGGGUUGUAAACCGCUUUCGCCUGUGACGAAGCGUGAGUGACGGUAAUGGGUAAAGAAGCACCGGCUAACUACGUGCCAGCAGCCGCGGUGAUACGUAGGGUGCGAGCGUUGUCCGGAUUUAUUGGGCGUAAGGGGCUCGUAGGUGGUUGAUCGCGUCGGAAGUGUAAUCUUGGGGCUUAACCCUGAGCGUGCUUUCGAUACGGGUUGACUUGAGGAAGGUAGGGGAGAAUGGAAUUCCUGGUGGAGCGGUGGAAUGCGCAGAUAUCAGGAGGAACACCAGUGGCGAAGGCGGUUCUCUGGGCCUUUCCUGACGCUGAGGAGCGAAAGCGUGGGGAGCGAACAGGCUUAGAUACCCUGGUAGUCCACGCUGUAAACGGUGGGUACUAGGUGUGGGGUCCAUUCCACGGGUUCCGUGCCGUAGCUAACGCUUUAAGUACCCCGCCUGGGGAGUACGGCCGCAAGGCUAAAACUCAAAGGAAUUGACGGGGCCCCGCACAAGCGGCGGAGCAUGCGGAUUAAUUCGAUGCAACGCGUAGAACCUUACCUGGGUUUGACAUGGAUCGGGAGUGCUCAGAGAUGGGUGUGCCUCUUUUGGGGUCGGUUCACAGGUGGUGCAUGGCUGUCGUCAGCUCGUGUCGUGAGAUGUUGGGUUAAGUCCCGCAACGAGCGCAACCCUUGUUCACUGUUGCCAGCACGUUAUGGUGGGGACUCAGUGGAGACCGCCGGGGUCAACUCGGAGGAAGGUGGGGAUGACGUCAAGUCAUCAUGCCCCCUAUGUCCAGGGCUUCACGCAUGCUACAAUGGCUGGUACAGAGAGUGGCGAGCCUGUGAGGGUGAGCGAAUCUCGGAAAGCCGGUCUCAGUUCGGAUUGGGGUCUGCAACUCGACCUCAUGAAGUCGGAGUCGCUAGUAACCGCAAAACAGCAACGCUGCGGUGAAUACGUUCCCGGGGC
rnacentral:rRNA from 1 species